rnacentral:tRNA from 1 species
GCGAGAGUGGCGGAACUGGUAGACGCGCUAGAUUUAGGAUCUAGUGUCGGUCCGACGUGAGGGUUCGAGUCCCUCCUCUCGCACAA